UAAAGGUGCACAUAGGAAAACUUAGGGUGUAUACUCGUGUCACUGAAUUAACGUUUAAGCGUGCUAUUUGUACGUCAGCCACGAGGAGAUGCCACUUGAUUGUGGCAUCUUUUUAUUUAGA
rnacentral:ncRNA from 1 species